CUUUAUAUCUAUUUUUAAUACCUUAGAUUUGGAGGUAGAGGAAAUUAGAUGAAACCCCCAAACACACCGAAGAUCAUGAAAUAAUGAAAAAAAUAAUAAUGGUCCUCUACCAUCUGCUUCCGGAGAAGGCAAUGGCAACCCACUCCAGUGUUCUUGCCUGGAGAAUCCCAGGGACGGGAGAGCCUGGUGGGCUGCCGUCUAUGGAGUUGCACAGAGUCAGACACGACUGAAGUGACUUAGCAGCAACAACAGCCAUCUGCUUCAUUCUCUACCUCCAGGAAAAAUUUACUAUAGACCAGGUGGUCUUCAGAGACUUUGAUUUCCUUCUUAUAUUUAUG
rnacentral:lncRNA from 1 species